ACAGCGAAACUCGCUUAAGGCAGACACCCCUGUAAGGUGGACACCUCUUUAAAGACAGAUACCCUUCCAUUGGUCCGGUCAGAUUGCCUCAUGUUGUCUGUUACAGCGAAACUCUAAUUUAGUGCAUAUUAUUUUAUUUCACUUUUGACUGUUAGUCACUGAAUAUGCAACUGUUUGCACUAGCCAAAUGAAAUAUCUCUACAAAAUCUUCAAUGUCCAUAGUUUUCUGUUGUUAAAGUAAAUGUAAACUUUAUUUAACCAGGGUGGCCCAUUCAACUACGAGAUUGGUAUAAAAAGGGGCAUUUCUUCAUGUUGUUUCAUCCCUGCAUGACAUUUAGUACAAAUCAGUUCUAGCUAUUUAGUACUGUUUCAUGGAUACAGUGUUUGUACUCUAGUAUGAGAUGUAUGAUAAAGAGGGUACUAUGCUUUAAACCUUUUGGCGAAGCAUUAAUGUGCUUAUUCAAUUUAAGGCAAAAAUGAACAAAUAAAUGAAUAUUGACGAAA